rnacentral:rRNA from 1 species
GAUGAACGCUGGCGGCGUGCCUAAUACAUGCCAGUCGAGCGAACAGAUAAGGAGCUUGCUCCUUUGAAGUUACCGGCGGACGGGUGAGUAACACGUGGGUAACCUACCUAUAAGACUGGGAUAACUUCGGGAAACCGGAGCUAAUACCGGAUAACAUUUAGAACCGCAUGGUUCUAAAGUGAAAGAUGGUUUUGCUAUCACUUAUAGAUGGACCCGCGCCGUAUUAGCUAGUUGGUAAGGUAACGGCUUACCAAGGCGACGAUACGUAGCCGACCUGAGAGGGUGAUCGGCCACACUGGAACUGAGACACGGUCCAGACUCCUACGGGAGGCAGCAGUAGGGAAUCUUCCGCAAUGGGCGAAAGCCUGACGGAGCAACGCCGCGUGAGUGAUGAAGGGUUUCGGCUCGUAAAACUCUGUUAUUAGGGAAGAACAAAUGUGUAAGUAACUGUGCACAUCUUGACGGUACCUAAUCAGAAAGCCACGGCUAACUACGUG